rnacentral:rRNA from 1 species
UACGUAGGUGGCAAGCGUUGUCCGGAUUUACUGGGCGUAAAGGGAGCGUAGGCGGACUUUUAAGUGAGAUGUGAAAUACCCGGGCUCAACUUGGGUGCUGCAUUUCAAACUGGAAGUCUAGAGUGCAGGAGAGGAGAAUGGAAUUCCUAGUGUAGCGGCGAAAUGCGUAGAGAUUAGGAAGAACACCAGUGGCGAAGGCGAUUCUCUGGACUGUAACUGACGCUGAGGCUCGAAAGCGUGGGGAGCAACAGGAUUAGAUACCCGGGUAGU